rnacentral:rRNA from 1 species
GAUGAACGCUGGCGGCGUGCUUAACACAUGCAAGUCGAACGAAGCAUUUGCGACAGAUUUUUUCGGAAUGAAGUUGCUUAUGACUGAGUGGCGGACGGGUGAGUAACGCGUGGGUAACCUGCCUUGUACUGGGGGAUGGCAGCUGGAAACGGCUGGUAAUACCGCAUAAGCGCACAAUGUUGCAUGACAUGGUGUGAAAAACUCCGGUGGUAUAAGAUGGACCCGCGUCUGAUUAGCUAGUUGGUGAGAUAACAGCCCACCAAGGCGACGAUCAGUAGCCGACCUGAGAGGGUGACCGGCCACAUUGGGACUGAGACACGGCCCAGACUCCUACGGGAGGCAGCAGUGGGGAAUAUUGCACAAUGGAGGAAACUCUGAUGCAGCGACGCCGCGUGAGUGAAGAAGUAAUUCGUUAUGUAAAGCUCUAUCAGCAGGGAAGAUAGUGACGGUACCUGACGAAGAAGCUCCGGCUAAAUACGUG